rnacentral:rRNA from 1 species
CCUACGGGGGGCAGCAGUGGGGAAUAUUGCACAAUGGGGGAAACCCUGAUGCAGCGACGCCGCGUGAGUGAAGAAGUAAUUCGGUAUGUAAAGCUCUAUCAGCAGGGAAGAAAAUGACGGUACCUGAGUAAGAAGCCCCGGCUAACUACGUGCCAGCAGCCGAGGUAAUACGUAGGGGGCAAGCGUUAUCCGGAUUUACUGGGGGUAACGGGGGCGUAGACGGCAGUGCAAGUCUGGAGGGAAAGGCGGGGGGCCAACCCCCGGACUGCUCUGGAAACUGUACGGCUGGAGUGAAGGAGAGGUAAGUGGAAUUCCUGGUGUAGCGGUGAAAUGCGUAGAUAUUAGGAGGAACACCAGUGGCGAAGGCGGCUUACUGGACUGUAACUGACGUUGAGGCUCGAAAGCGUGGGGAGCAAACAGGAUUAGAUACCCGAGUAGUC